UUUAAAUGUAAAUUUUUGAACUAAAUUAGUAAUAGAUAUGAUCUUCAAAUUUAAAGAUUUUGGCGGUAUUUUAGUCUAUUCAGAGGAACCUGUUCUGUAAUUGAUAAUCCACGAUUAACUUUACUUAAUUUUAAAAAUUUGUAUAUCGUUGUUUAUAGAAAAUUUUAUAAGAAAAAUAAUUUUUAAUAAAUUUAAUUAAAUUGUAAAUCAAAUCAAGGUGCAGUUUAUAGUUAAGUUAGAAAUGGGUUACAAUAAAUUUAUUUAUUAAUGAAUAUAAAUUUUAAAAUUUUUAUUGAAGGUGGAUUUGAUAGUAAUGUUAUUAAAUUAAAUAAUGUGAUUUUAGCUCUAAAAUAUGU
rnacentral:rRNA from 1 species